AAUAAAAUGUACGGUUUUCCUAUAGCAAAAAUUAUAAAGGACGUAAAUUUUAAUUUCCGCGGUUAAAAUUAUUAUAUAUUCGAAUAUUAAUAUAAUAACCGGUAUUAUCGCGCGGACGAUUUUUAAUAUAAAAAACAAUUUUUUAAAAUUUUUCCAUUGCGAAAUUAUAUAAAAUUCGUUAAUGGCGAAUAAAAUAAUUCGUUAAUUAAAAAUAAAAUUGCGGAAUAAUUUAAAAAAUCGGUAAUUGGUAAUUUAUUUUGGACCUAAUAAAAUAUAAAUAUAUCCACAAACGAUUUUUGGAUGCCAAAAAAGGUUAUAUUAUAUUAUAUUAAUUUUUAAAAUAUAAAAAAUAUAUUUAAAUUUAUAUUUGGUAUAAAUUGGUCGAUUAAUUUGGGGUUGGCGGCGGAAUAUUAUUAUAUAUUGCGGAAUUAUUUUUAUUCCAAUUUGUUUAAUGGGAUUAUUUAGAUAAUAAUAACGUUAUAACGAAUAACAAAUAUAAUUUGCAAUAUUAAAUUUUCCCCGUAACCCGUUUUCGCGAAUAAUAUAAUAUUUU
rnacentral:sRNA from 1 species